rnacentral:rRNA from 1 species
AUUGAACGCUGGCGGCAGGCUUAACACGUGCAAGUCGAGCGGAGAGAGGUAGCUUGCUACCGAUCUUAGCGGCGGACGGGUGAGUAAUGCUUAGGAAUCUGCCUAUUAGUGGGGGACAACAUUUCGGAAGGAAUGCUAAUACCGCAUACGUCCUACGGGAGAAAGCAGGGGAUCUUCGGACCUUGCGCUAAUAGAUGAGCCUAAGUCGGAUUAGCUAGUUGGUGGGGUAAAGGCCUACCAAGGCGACGAUCUGUAGCGGGUCUGAGAGGAUGAUCCGCCACACUGGGACUGAGACACGGCCCAGACUCCUACGGGAGGCAGCAGUGGGGAAUAUUGGACAAUGGGCGCAAGCCUGAUCCAGCCAUGCCGCGUGUGUGAAGAAGGCCUUAUGGUUGUAAAGCACUUUAAGCGGGGAGGAGGCUACUUUAGUUAAUACCUAGAGAUAGUGGACGUUACUCGCAGAAUAAGCACCGGCUAACUCUGUGCCAGCAGCCGCCGCCGUAA